rnacentral:rRNA from 1 species
AUGGACGACGAGGAUUACUCGUGGGUGCGGCGGACCAGGUUCUCCCACUCCGUCGUCCGCUCCAACUCCGGCAGGGAGCAGUUCGGCGCCUUCGUCGAGCAGUUCAACCGCGGCGCCGCGCUCAGGCAGAACAAGGGCUCCGACUCCGGGUUCAAGCUCCACGGCAUGAACUUCGAGCCCAGGACCAAGGCCUCCGCCACCACCAACGCGGCCCCCAUUUCGAGGACAAGGUCGCUGAGUGCCCAGCCCAAGACGGACCUCAACCAUGCCUUCUCCAACGCCAUGCCGGUGCAUCAUCACGAGAAGCCUGCCGAUCACGGUCGCCCGCCGCAGUCAGCACCGGCCAACAACUCUGCCAACGGAACGAGGGGCCGCAACAACCUCUUCGUCGACGUCUGCUCCGAGCCCGAGGUUCAGGAGCCGGGCAAGGGCGACAGCCCUGGGCCUCUCGAGUUCUCCUUCCACCCCGAGGAGCAGAGCAUGAGGCUGCAAAGGGUGUGCUCCAGCCCGUCUCCUUUCCCGGCCAAGAAAACGCCGGUCUUGGACGCGCCGCGGCCGCCGGUGCGCAGCUCUUCGCUCAGGGUCCUCCCAGAGGGGCGCUCUACGCAGAUGCUGAGGGCGAGGUCCCCUCUCCCAAACCGCCCCGUGCCCGAGGUGUUCAAGGAGGCCAAAUCAGCCAGCAAGAGGUUCUCCACGCCGCCGCCGCCGCGCCGGAAAUCUUCGUCUCCGCCGCGCGCGCCGCCGGCGGACGCGCCACUCAAGGCGCCCGCCAAGGUGAAGCACCACAGGAAGGAGCACUGGGACAACGAAAGGGCCAAGGCGGCCGCAACGAAGGUGCUCGAUAGUUGGACGGUGGAUCGCAAGCAGCUCCUCAUCGGGCAGAAGUUCGCCUACGGGGCGCACAGCCGUCUGUUCCAUGGAAUCUACAAGGAGGUACCCGUUGCUGUCAAGUUCAUCAGGCAGCCUGACGUUGACGAAGACGCGGAGCUGGCGUCUCAGCUCGAGAAGCAGUUCAACACGGAGGUUGUCACAUUGUCCCGCCUCCAGCAUCGCAACGUCAUUAAGCUGGUUGGAGCAUGCACCAGCCCGCCAGUCUUCUGCGUCAUCACCGAGUUCCUUUCUGGUGGUUCGUUGAGAUCAUUCUUGCACAAGCAAGAGCACAAAUCUCUGCCUUUGGACAAGAUCAUUUCAGUUGGCUUGGAUAUCGCACACGGCAUGGGGUACGUCCACUCGCAAGGAAUCGUACAUCGUGACGUGAAGCCGGAGAACAUCAUAUUUGACGGGGAUUGCGCCAAGAUUGUUGAUUUUGGAAUAGCCUGCGAAGAAGCAUAUUGUGAUCCUCUGGCGAACGAUCCUGGGACUUUCAGAUGGAUGGCUCCAGAGAUGAUGAAGCACAAACCCUAUGGUCGAAAGGUUGAUGUUUACAGCUUCGGCCUUAUCUUGUGGGAAAUGCUUACCGGCUCCGUGCCUUAUGAAGAUUUGACUCCGUUCCAAGCAGCCUUUGCUGUUUUUGACAAGAAUGUGAGGCCGGCCAUUCCUGCUACCUGCCCAGCUGCAUUACGGGUUCUGAUCGAGCAGUGUUGGGCCUUGCAAGCAGAUAAAAGGCCUGAAUUCUGGCAAAUAGUUCAAUUACUGGACAAGUUCAAGAUGGUUCUUGAAAGAGAUGGAACACUUGACAAUAUGCCAAGCUCAAACUGCCAGGAGAAUCAUGAUCCCAAGAAAUGGCUAGCCCACUGGCUCCACAAGCUCAAGCAUCCCCAUCAUCAUCAUGAUCUCUCUGGACCUCCACCACCAAAGCUUCUGUAA